AGCUAGUUGGUAGGGUAAUGGCCUACCAAGGCGACGACGGGUAGGGGACCUGAGAGGGUGAUCCCCCACAAUGGAACUGAAACACGGUCCAUACACCUACGGGUGGCAGCAGUAGGGAAUAUUGCCCAAUGGACGAAAGUCUGAGGCAGCAACGCCGCGUGUGCGAUGAAGGCCUUCGGGUUGUAAAGCACUUUUCUGAGGGAAGAGGAAGGACGGUACCUCAGGAAUAAGUCUCGGCUAACUACGUGCCAGCAGCCGCGGUAACACGUAGGAGGCAAGCGUUAUCCGGAUUUACUGGGCGUAAAGCGCGUGCAGGCGGUUUGGUAAGUUGGAUGUGAAAGCUCCUGGCUUAACUGGGAGAGGUCGUUCAAUACUGCCAGACUAGAGGACGGUAGAGGAAGGUAGAAUUCCUGGUGUAGUGGUGAAAUGCGUAGAUAUCAGGAGGAAUACCAGAGGCGAAGGCGGCCUUCUGGGCCGUUCCUGACGCUAAGACGCGAAAGCAUGGGUAGCAAACGGGAUUAGAAACCCCGGUAGUCCAUGCCGUAAACGAUGCAAACUUGGUGUUGGUGGUGUAAAAGCCAUCAGUGCCGCAGCUAACGCGAUAAGUUUGCCGCCUGGGGAUUACGGCCGCAAGGUUAAAACUCAAAGGAAUUGACGGGUUCCCGCACAAGCAGCGGAGCGUGUGGUUUAAUUCGAUACUACGCGAAGAACCUUACCUGGGCUUGACAUAUAGGUGGUAGGAAGCCGAAAGGUGACCGACCCUUCGGGGAGCCUAUACAGGUGCUGCAUGGCUGUCGUCAGCUCGUGUCGUGAGAUGUCCGGUUAAGUCCGGUAACGAGCGCAACCCUUGCCGUAUGUUAUACGUGUCAUACGGGACUGCCGAUAUAAAAUCGGGGGAAGGCGGGGAUGACGUCAAGUCAGCAUGGCCUUUAUGUCCAGGGCUACACACACGCUACAAUGGCCAGUACAAUAGGUCGCAAAGCCGCGAGGCAGAGCCAAUCCUCAAGGCUGGUCUCAGUUCGGAUUGCAGGCUGCAACUCGCCUGCAUGAAGCCGGAGUUGCUAGUAAAUGCGCGUCAGCACAGUGCAUUGAAUACGUUCCCGGGAAUUGUACACACCGCCCGUCACGUCAUGGAAGCUGGAAACACCUGAAGUCGGUAUCCCAACCCUAACGGGAGGGAGCUGCCAAAGGUGGGGCUGGUAACUGGGACGAAGUCGUAACAAGGUAGGUGUACCGGAAGGUGCGCCUGG
rnacentral:rRNA from 1 species